rnacentral:rRNA from 1 species
GACGAACGCUGGCGGCGUGCUUAACACAUGCAAGUCGAACGGAAAGGCCCUGCUUUUGUGGGGUGCUCGAUUGGCGAACGGGUGAGUAACACGUGAGUAACCUGCCCUUGACUUUGUGAUAACUUCAGGAAACUGGGGCUAAUACCGGAUAGGAUCUCCUGCUGCAUGGUGGGGGUUGGAAAGUUUCGGCGGUUGGGGAUGGACUCGCGGGUUAUCAGCUUGUUGGGGGGGUAGUGUCUUACCAAGGCUUUGACGGGUAGCCGGCCUGAGCGGGUGACCGGCCACAUUGGGACUGAGAUACGGCCCAGACUCCUACGGGAGGCAGCAGUGGGGAAUAUUGCACAAUGGGCGGAAGCCUGAUGCAGCAACGCCGCGUGCGGGAUGACGGGUUUCGGGUUGUAAACAGCUUUCGACUGUGACGAAGCGUGAGUGACGGUAAUGGGUAAAGAAGCACCGGCUAACUACGUG